GUUUUCUGCUUUUUCUUGUGUCUUGUAAUUUUAAUUGUACAUUGGACGUAGUACACGAAUGCACAGUAACACCUGCCAUAAAUUAUAUUUUCCCCAGGAAAAUUCUCAGCUCUUCUGUCAGAAUGCUAAGGAUUUCUAGCCCUAAGGAUUUCUAGAAGCACCAAAGACAAGCAACUUCUCUAAACUUCCUCUUAUCAAGCACAUGGCCAACAACCUCUCUUCUCUUCAACCCAAAAUAAGUGACAAAAUAUGAAGAUGCUGGUUCCCUGAGGCUUGUAGCCUGGUUUCUUUUAUACAGGAAAAAGCAGAAUGAGCUGAAGAUGUUGAAAGCAAUAAAGCAAGUGUAGACAUGUACAUUAUCACUCUGUGCUCCCCUCCCCUCUGUUCCUUACUUAGUAUAAAAGACUCUUGCCCACCUGUACGUGGUUAGAUGGUGACUUGAGAAAAGUGGGCUCUCCAUCUCACUGGAGAUAGGUUUAAAUAAAUCUCUUCCUUCUUACCAAAA